rnacentral:lncRNA from 1 species
GGCACUUGCAACUUUAUUGCGCCAGCAAGAACAUGCAUACAGCCCAGUCUAACGUACAGGAUCAAAAAGAGACCUUAUUUCGGCUGGCAAUUACCUUACCCGCUUGUUCAUUAUCUGACUCCUGCACUCCUCCCAAGUGUUCAAUGUUAACCAGAUGGCAAAGUUAACCAGACAGAGGAAAUCCACAUAAUUACUCUAGAUGAAGCCCCCUAACUGCGGAUUAGAAGGAAAAGAGAUGAAGGGUGCUGCACUAAUAAUAACAACCAUUUUCAACCAAGGCAGGAUUCUGGGCCUAGAAUCUUCAGUGACAAAUUACCAGGAGAGGAGGAGGGAAAUGAAGAGCUGGAGGCCUAGGGAGAUGGUGUGAGGAGAGGAGACUGUGCCUUUCCACUUCUUAAUAAUUAAUGUUCUCCUGCUGCUCUGAGUCUGCAUGUAAGUGGAUUUGUGACCUCUCAGCUGAUGAAAACCAUAGCACAAGAAGAGUAAAAGUGUGCUGCCUUGUUUCUUACUUGCUAAUUAGCCACCUGAGCCCAGGGGGGUUUAUAAGUGGCCUCAAGCCCAAUUACUGAUUUUGUUCCCAGAGGCAGAGAAGGCUUGAGUCAAAUCACCCUGAUUCUCAGGGGAAAGGCAGCACCGAGCAUCCAGGGUACCCUCUAAUGGCCCAGGCCUACUCUUGUCCAGCAAUGUACCACCAAGAUGUUGAACUUUAAAGGACUAUGUCUGACCAGGAAGGACCUGCUGUCUAGAGCUGCCAUUCUGAUUCUUGGAGCUCGUAUACAGAUACAUCCGCAACCAUGGGGCAGGAAACAGAUGUACCAGUGCAGUCAAGACCAAUACCUGCUCAUACCUGUGGCCAAAAGCAUGAUGCCCCAGGCUCUGCCUCCAAUUCUACCAUCUUCUUCCAUCUUUCUCUUUUAUCAGCACCAGUGAUUCAGUUUGAGUCAGACAUCCAACAACAACUGAGCAAAAGAAUCAUCUCAGAUCCAAGCAAUGGUGACGCGCAGAUAGAAGAGACUGAGGCCAACGACCAAAGCAAAGGACAGCAGAACUGACUGACACAGCUCAGAAAAUAUCCAAAGCUCUGGUCUUGCUCUGUCACCCACACUGGAGUGCAAUGCCACCAUCUUGGCUCACUGCAGCCUUGACCUCCUUGGGCUCAAGUGAUCCUCCUGCUUCAGCCUACCAUGUAGCUGGGACUACAGGUAUGCUCUGGAAAGGAAGACAAGAAAUGCUAAAGACUCUGGAUAUUGCUCUGUUUCUAUAAGGUCCCACCCAUAUACCAUCUCUUCUUUUGGAUUUCCUUUGGCAGGGUUCCCUUGUAUGGAAGUUCUCAGGAGAACAACACUCUCAGAGUCCCACUGUCUCAAAGAAUUCUUAAUGGACAGCUAUACUUGGCCCCAAGGUUUCAACCUCACACUGAAGAAAGUGACAUAAGAAAACACAAGUCCCAGUGCUAUCAGGGGCUAUCUGGAAAAGCUGCUUAAACAGCAAGUGAAAGAAGGCUCUCCCCUACCCCGUUCUAGUUAUAAACAUCACAUCUCUUAACAUACGGCCAAGAUGAUGAAGCUGAUGGAACUCACCCUGAAGUUAUUUGAAGGAUCCUUGAGACUCUUUUGGAUUGCUGCUUGGAGAACAUUCCUGUAACUUGUCCCUGCUCCUUGAACUAUAAAAGCAGAAGGGAGGUACUGAGUUAAAACUUACAAAUUAUUAUCAAAUAAAUCUUCAAUAGUGGUUCAGUCCAA